ACGCCUAAAGCAUGUUCUCAAAAGUUUUGAAAAACAACUCUCAUUCUCUCUGUUCUCUCUCUCGGUGAAACGAAGGAAGCUACACUAAUGGAGCCCUGAGCUUCUUCUCCGACUUAUCAUUCUCUUCUAUAGAGCUCCAUUCUUCUCAUCUACUGCAGAAUCAAGUGGAAUCUCUCAGCAUUUUAACCGUCAGAAUGAAAUUAAGGGAUGAAAACAAGUGACAUAGCUAAACUCAUCUUCAUCAUGUUGAAAUAAAAGGCGGAGGCCACACUUUUCCACAUGCAAUCUUCUUGUACUGUCACUCACAAAGGAAGCCUAUAUGACACUGCAAUCAUUAGCUGCUCAUCUGAAAACCACUCUCUUGAUAUGUAAGAAAGCCAAAUGAAUUGGCCUUCGUACUUGAACUUCAUAUUUGAUUUUUUUGGUUUUUUUUUCUCCAAAUCUGUUCAAGUAACCAGGUACCAUGACGCCUGAUUCAUUUAAUUCAUAUCUGAUUUCUUUUA